rnacentral:rRNA from 1 species
UACGAAGGGGGCUAGCGUUGUUCGGAUUUACUGGGCGUAAAGAGCACGUAGGCGGAUCGUUAAGUGAGGGGUGAAAUCCCAGGGCUCAACCCUGGAACUGCCUUUCAUACUGGCGAUCUCGAGUCCGGAAGAGGUGAGUGGAACUCCUAGUGUAGAGGUGGAAUUCGUAGAUAUUAGGAAGAACACCAGUGGCGAAGGCGGCUCACUGGUCCGGUACUGACGCUGAGGUGCGAAAGCGUGGGGAGCAAACAGG